rnacentral:rRNA from 1 species
UACGUAGGGUGCGAGCGUUGUCCGGAUUUAUUGGGCGUAAAGAGCUUGUAGGCGGCUCGUCACGUCGGGUGUGAAAACUCGCGGCUCAACCGCGAGCCUGCACCCGAUACGGGCGGGCUGGAGUUCGGCAGGGGAGACUGGAAUUCCUGGUGUAGCGGUGGAAUGCGCAGAUAUCAGGAGGAACACCGGUGGCGAAGGCGGGUCUCUGGGCCGAUGACUGACGCUGAGAAGCGAAAGCGUGGGGAGCGAACAGG